UGGGGAAUCUUGCGCAAUGGGCGAAAGCCUGACGCAGCCAUGCCGCGUGAAUGAUGAAGGUCUUAGGAUUGUAAAAUUCUUUCAGCGGGGACGAUAAUGACGGUACCCGCAGAAGAAGCCCCGGCUAACUUCGUGCCAGCAGCCGCGGUAAUACGAAGGGGGCUAGCGUUGCUCGGAUUUACUGGGCGUAAAGGGAGCGUAGGCGGAACAGCAAGUCAGGGGUGAAAGCCCGGGGCUCAACCUCGGAAUUGCCCUUGAGACUGUUGAUCUAGAGUUUGGGAGAGGUGUGUGGAACUCCGAGUGUAGAGGNUGAAAUUCGUAGAUAUUCGGAAGAACACCAGUGGCGAAGGCGACACACUGGCCCCAAAUACUGACGCUGAGGCUCGAAAAGCGNNGUAGGCAAACAGGAUUAGAUACCCUGGUAGUCCACGCCGUAAACCGAUGAGUGCUAGUUGUCGGACGGCAUGCCGUUCGGUGACGCAGCUAACGCCUUAAGCACUCCGCCUGUNAGUACGGUGCGCAAGAUUAAAAACUUAAAUGAAUUGACGGGGGUCAUAGCUGUUUCCUG
rnacentral:rRNA from 1 species